AAUGUUAUACUAGAUAAGUUCAGGAAUAGAUGUCAAAAUUUAUCCACAAAAAGACAACGUCUCAAGGAGAUAAGGACAGAUUUUUUACUUGACAGAAAGGUAAUGCUUCCACCCUAACUCCAAAGCUAUUGGUAAUGGUAAUCUAAACCAAUCAAAACUCGGUACAAGCAGGCCAAAUCAAGGUGAGUCCUAUUUUUUUGUGAAUGCUUCUCAUGGGUUUACUUUUAUUAUCAUUAUGACCAUUAUUAAAAGCUUUGUCAAAUGAUUGUACUUCAACAUUAACCCAACCCAUCCCAGCAGAACUCUACCAAUACAUCUACUGAUUCAAUUGAAAUGAUCUUAAUUCAAAUACAGGUCCACAUGAUAUAUGACAGAGAGUAGGGAAAAUUGAAACCAACAUUACAACAAGAGAAAGGAAUAUUUUAUGCAAACCUGAGGUUUAACCUCCACUGUAU
rnacentral:misc_RNA from 1 species